rnacentral:ncRNA from 1 species
GUGAUAAGGUUGUAUGUACAGCCUUUUUGUGGAAGUGAACCUUCUGCUAGAAAUCAUCAAAUUGCGGGAACACCCUAAAGCUAUCAUAACCAAGUAAAUGUAGUAAUAUGUUUAUGGCACAGGUAAUGACUCGUGGUAAGGUAAAAUCAUGAUAGAUAAUUUAAUGGGUUAUCCGCAGCCAAGCACCAAAUAUUUUAAUACUUGGUGUGCAGUUCAUCGACUAAAUGUUGAUUGGUGUUAUAAUAGAAGAUUAUUCGUUAUAAUGCUUAAGAUAUAGUCAGGCCUCAUUUGAAAGAAUGCA